rnacentral:rRNA from 1 species
UACGUAGGCAGCAAGCGUUGUUCGGAAUUACUGGGCGUAAAGAGUGUGUAGGCGGUGUUCCAAGUUCGGUGUGAAAUCUCCCGGCUUAACUGGGAGGGUGCGCCGAAGACUGGAAGGCUUGAGUAUGGGAGAGGUAAGCGGAAUUCCUGGUGUAGCGGUGAAAUGCGUAGAUAUCAGGAGGAACACCUGCGGUGUAGACGGCUUACUGGACCAUAACUGACGCUGAGGCACGAAAGCGUGGGUAGCAAACAGG